rnacentral:rRNA from 1 species
GAUGAACGCUGGCGGCGUGCCUAAUACAUGCAAGUCGAACGCUGGAAAUCUAGCUUGCUAGAUUGAAGGAGUGGCGAACGGGUGAGUAAUACAUAAGCAACCUACCCACGAAGACUGGGAUAAUCUCUGGAAACGGGGACUAAUACCGGAUAGGUAAUCGGAAGGCAUCUUCUGAUUAUUAAAGGUUAAAAACACUGGUGGAUGGGCUUAUGGCGCAUUAGUUAGUUGGUGAGGUAACGGCCCACCAAGACGAUGAUGCGUAGCCGGCCUGAGAGGGUGAACGGCCACAUUGGGACUGAGACACGGCCCAGACUCCUACGGGAGGCAGCAGUAGGGAAGUUUCGGCAAUGGGGGAAACCCUGACCGAGCAGCGCCGCGUGAGUGAUGACGGCCUUCGGGUUGUAAAGCUCUGUUGUAAGGGAAGAACGGUAGAUAGAGAAUAUCUAAAUGACGGUACCUUACCAGAAAGCCACGGCUAACUACGUG